GAUGAACGCUGGCGGCGUGCCUAAUACAUGCAAGUCGAGCGAACGGACGAGAAGCUUGCUUCUCUGAUGUUAGCGGCGGACGGGUGAGUAACACGUGGAUAACCUACCUAUAAGACUGGGAUAACUUCGGGAAACCGGAGCUAAUACCGGAUAAUAUUUUGAACCGCAUGGUUCAAAAGUGAAAGACGGUCUUGCUGUCACUUAUAGAUGGAUCCGCGCUGCAUUAGCUAGUUGGUAAGGUAACGGCUUACCAAGGCAACGAUGCAUAGCCGACCUGAGAGGGUGAUCGGCCACCCUGGAACUGAGACCCGGUCCAGACUCCUACGGGAGGCAGCAGUAGGGAAUCUUCCGAAAUGGGCGAAAGCCUGACGGAGCAACGCCGCGUGAGUGAUGAAGGUCUUCGGAUCGUAAAACUCUGUUAUUAGGGAAGAACAUAUGUGUAAGUAACUGUGCACAUCUUGACGGUACCUAAUCAGAAAGCCACGGCUAACUACGU
rnacentral:rRNA from 1 species